UACAUGGGGUGCAAACGUUGCUCGGAAUUAUUGGGCGUAAAGCGCACGUAGGCGGUUUGUUAAGUCGGAUGUGAAAUCCCUCGGCUCAACUGAGGAAGUGCAUCCGAAACUGGCAGGCUUGAGUACUAAAGAGGGUCGCGGAAUUCCCGGUGUAGAGGUGAAAUUCGUAGAUAUCGGGAGGAACACCGGUGGCGAAAGCGGCGCACUGGACCACAACUGACGCUGAGGCGCGAAAGCGUGGGGAGCAAACAGG
rnacentral:rRNA from 1 species